GCCGCGAGACGGAAUCCGAAGGAAGCCGGCUGUCAGAGGUGAGGAACCUCUGACAGGCAAACUCCCGAACCGACGAAUAGGAAUCACAUAGAAGGCCGUACAGGAACGGACGAGUGUGCGUCACAACAUGAAGUCCAAUGCUGUCCAAAUUCCGUGCGGUAAAUGUGGCGGUUACGCGGGAGGAAAGUUCUU
rnacentral:ncRNA from 1 species